CCAGGUAUUCUGGUAACUAAGCAUUUCGGUGAUGUAGGAUGGCAGGCUAGAUACUUCGUGUAAGAAAAAGGCCUAUGUAAGGCCGGAAUGAGUGCACUAAAGAAAGAGACACACAAUGGCAUAUGGGCUUCCUGGUUAUUGCGCAAUAAUGCCCGUUGUUUGCCAGUUGCAUUUGAUAACUGGGCUUCCACAGUGUAGCAAGACACUAGAAGAGCACAGAAACUUCUGAAGGCUUUUACCGACACAAAGUCUAAAUCUCUGACGAAGUUAUCGCCGAUCAAUAUGAAGACGCAUCCCCUAUCACAUCUCGUUGUGCUGUGGUGCGUUACCCUCUGUGCUCUGGCAUCAGGAAAGGAAAUUCAAGACCAGGAACUAGGAACCAAGGACGAGCGGGACUAUCAGUUGGAAAAGCGUGCAAGCGAUGAUCUCGAAAAACGUGUAAAAAAACUGGAGGAAAA